rnacentral:rRNA from 1 species
UACUGAGGUCUCAAGCGUUGUUCGGAUUCAUUGGGCGUAAAGGGUGCGUAGGUGGCGCCGUAAGUCAGGUGUGAAAUUUCGGAGCUUAACUCCGAAACUGCAUUUGAUACUGCGGUGCUUGAGGACUGGAGAGGAGACUGGAAUUUACGGUGUAGCAGUGAAAUGCGUAGAGAUCGUAAGGAAGACCAGUGGCGAAGGCGGGUCUCUGGACAGUUCCUGACACUGAGGCACGAAGGCCAGGGGAGCAAACGGG